UCAGAUAAAGCCAAACCCACCGCAAGGUGGCGACGGAAAGCCACGGAUCUCACCGAGACCGCCGGGUUGCCUGAC
rnacentral:ncRNA from 1 species